rnacentral:tRNA from 1 species
UGAAGGGACGGUAGCCCGGGUUCCGCGAAGCUCAUAACCCCGAGGUCGGUGGUUCAAAUCCACCCCCCGCUACCA